UAAAAAUUUAUGUUUUAAAAAAUUUAUUAUAAAUUUAUUUUACAUAUAAAUUUUAGUAUGAAAUUUUAAUUAUUUAAAAAAUAAUAAUAAAAUAAUUGUAGUAAUUAAAAUUAAAAAUUUAAGAAAUUAAGAUUUAGUAAUAUAUAAAUUAAUAACUAAUUUUGUGCCAGCAGUUGCGGUUAUACAAAAAUUAAAUUAAAUUAUUUCAGGUUUAUAAUAAAUAAAAUAUAAAAUUAAAAUAAAUAUUAAAUUAUUAGGUAAAAUUUUAAUUUAAUUAAAUUUUAAAAUAAUUUUAUGAUUUAGUAAAUUUAAAAAUAAACUAGGAUUAGAUACCCUAUUAUUAAAAAUUUAAUUUAUAAUACUAAAAUAGUAGAUAAAAAAUAUUGAAACUUAAAUAAUAUGGCGGUAUUUUAGUUCAUUUAGAGGAAUCUGUUUAAUAAUUGAUAGUCCACGAAUAAAUUUACUUAAUUUAAAAUUUUAUAUAUCGUUGUUAAAAAAAUAUUUUUUAAUAAAAAUAAUAUUUAAAAAUUAAAAUAAAAAAUUAAUUCAGAUCAAGAUGUAAAGUAUAAUUAAGAAUAUAAUGGAUUACAAUAAAAUAAUUUAAUAUGAAUAAUUAAUUUAAAAAUUAAUUUGAAGGUGGAUUUAAAUGUAAUUUUAAUUAAUUUAUUAAAAUGAUUAAAAAUUAAAAUAUGUACAUAUUGCCCGUCACUUUCAUUUAAAAGUUGGAAUAAGUCGUAACAAAGUAGAGGUACUGGAAAGUGUUUCUAGAAUGAA
rnacentral:ncRNA from 1 species